GUGCUUGCUUCGGCAGCACAUAUACUAAAAUUGGAACAAUACUAAGAAGAUUAGCAUGGCCCCUGUGCAAGGAUGCCACACCAAUCGGUGAAGUGUUCCAUAUAUAU
ensembl:snRNA U6 U6 spliceosomal RNA